rnacentral:snoRNA from 1 species
AUCCCAUGAUGAGGACAUUCUGAUAUGUAAUCUUGGAAGCGUUCCCAUGCCUUACGGACAGAUUCUUGAUACUAUUGCUGGAAGGUUGAGAUCUUUGCACGUAAGGCA